rnacentral:rRNA from 1 species
AGUGAACGCUGGCGGUAGGCCUAACACAUGCAAGUCGAACGGCAGCACAGUAAGAGCUUGCUCUUACGGGUGGCGAGUGGCGGACGGGUGAGGAAUACAUCGGAAUCUACUUUUUCGUGGGGGAUAACGUAGGGAAACUUACGCUAAUACCGCAUACGACCUACGGGUGAAAGCAGGGGAUCUUCGGACCUUGCGCGAUUGAAUGAGCCGAUGUCGGAUUAGCUAGUUGGCGGGGUAAAGGCCCACCAAGGCGACGAUCCGUAGCUGGUCUGAGAGGAUGAUCAGCCACACUGGAACUGAGACACGGUCCAGACGCCUGCGGGAGGCAGCAGUGGGGAAUAGUGGACAAGGGGCGAAAGCCUGAUCCAGCCAUACCGCGUGGGUGAAGAAGGCCUUCGGGUUGUAAAGCCCUUUUGUUGGGAAAGAAAAGCAGCAGGCUAAUACCCCGCGGUACUGACGGUACCCAAAGAAUAAGCACCGGCUAACUACGUG